rnacentral:lncRNA from 1 species
CUGCAGUUCAUUUAUUGCAGAGCCCUGUUCACAUGGGUUCUCAGAGACAUUUUCAUUCUCGCUUCUCACCACGCUGGAGAUGAGAACUAGAUGUGGUUUUCUAGAUACAGUCUACAUUUCCCUUUGAAUCUGGAAGUCCGGCUUCAAGCCCCUUUGAAGAGGCAGGCCCAUGGGAUGAAUUCUGACCAAUGGAUUUGGCUAAGAUUUAAGAGCCAGUGCACCAUCCUUCAGCUAACUCUUCUCUCCACCUGCUGCAAGGACAUAAACAUUUCAAUGGCACAAAGAUAGAGCACCUUGAAUUGUUACUGCAAAGAAGACAUCUUUUCUGGAGAGUCACCCAAGCAGUGGAUUUGUGAAUAAAUAAAUCUUGUGUUAAGGUUCUGAUAUUUUGUGGUUAAUUUGUGACCAUAGUACUACAUAGCCUAUUCUAAUGAAUAUGUAGUGACUAUCAGAAUCACUAGAGAACAUACAAACAUAAUUCAUAUUAUAGGUCAAAACUUCAGUCUACUAGCUUAAAAUUUUAAGCAUGGAGAGGAUAUCUCUAUGCUUACAAAGCUAAGAUAGUCUAAUAAUUAGCAAAUAUGAAAAACACUGUUAGAUGUCAGCUAGUUCCAUUUAGCCUUUCAAUCUGUUCCAAACUCUACUUUUAUACAUAUAAAAAUCAAAAGAAAGCCAAUAGAUGUGGAAGCUAAGCCUUGGGAAUCCUAAUAUAGCAUGAUGAGGAUUGUGAGUUUGACAAUUAGCUGUGCUAUUUAUUACUGGUGUAACUUUG